CUUUAUUCUCUUCCUUCUCCUCUCAAGAAGACAGGUCUGCAGGAUCCAUAAAAGGAGUUUCUCAUGGAUUCAUGUUGUCUAUACUUUAUGUCAUGGCCCCUCCUGUAGGCAAGAGCCCUGAAAAGCUCUGGCAAGCAUCGAGCGGUGGACCUCGCUGAUCAGAAGUUCGUGCCUAUAACUUCUACCCACUGAUUCCAGAUGUAUUGCGGCAACCACAUGAAACCAGGAUGACCCUUGAACAUCUCUCCGUGUCUACUUUUAUCCGUGCCCAACAGCCUUAUUUUCGAUGGUUUUUCCUAAGAGAGACAGAGCACGAACAGGGGAGAGAGGCAGAGGGGGAGAGAGAGAAUCUGAAGCAGGCUCCACGCCCAGCGCCCAGACCAACACGGGGCUCAGUCUCCCGACCUGGGGAUCGUGACCUGCGCCAAAACCAAGAGUUGGAUGCUCAAGCAACUGAGCCACCCAGACGUAGGAUUAUCGUCGCCACGGCUUUUAUGUGUAUCAGCUCUAACUGAAAUCUUUUUGUUCUGGAUCAGAAACAGAAUGAAAAUGUUCAUGAAGCAUAGAAUGCAUAAACGAACGCCGUCUGCUUCUUACAGCCUGUAAAACAUUUUUAAUGUAAAAUAUUUUGAAAAAAAAUAAAAGAAGAGAAACGUUUCAUAUCAUGGGCAAAGAUACCGAACUUGAAUUUCAGCGCCCAUAAACCAAGUGGUAUCAGAACACGACCAGGAUCACGUGUUGACAGACCGGCUAUGGCUGCCUUUCCCACUACGACGUCAGAGUCGAGGAGUCAGACAGGGACCCGUAUGGCCCUUUUUACAGAAGUGUUUGCGGACCCCUGCUGUGUGGCCAUGGGGUUGGUGAACAAGGAGACUUUCAUAAAUACAAUGUGGAGAGAAAA